UACGAAGGGGGCUAGCGUUGUUCGGAAUCACUGGGCGUAAAGGGCGCGUAGGCGGCUUUAUAAGUCGGGGGUGAAAGCCUGUGGCUCAACCACAGAAUUGCCUUCGAUACGGUAGAGCUUGAGACCGGAAGAGGUAAGUGGAACUGCGAGUGUAGAGGUGAAAUUCGUAGAUAUUCGCAAGAACACCAGUGGCGAAGGCGGCUUACUGGUCCGGUUCUGACGCUGAGGCGCGAAAGCGUGGGGAGCAAACAGG
rnacentral:rRNA from 1 species